UGGGGAAUUUUGGACAAUGGGCGAAAGCCUGAUCCAGCCAUGCCGCGUGAGUGAAGAAGGCCUUCGGGUUGUAAAGCUCUUUUAGUCGGAAAGAAAGAGUCGCAAUGAAUAAUUGUGAUUUAUGACGGUACCGACAGAAAAAGCACCGGCUAACUACGUGCCAGCAGCCGCGGUAAUACGUAGGGUGCGAGCGUUAAUCGGAAUUACUGGGCGUAAAGGGUGCGCAGGCGGUUUUGCAAGUCAGAUGUGAAAGCCCCGGGCUUAACCUGGGAAUUGCGUUUGAAACUACAAGGCUAGAGUGCAGCAGAGGGGAGUGGAAGUUCCAUGUGUAGCAGUGAAAUGCGUAGAGAUGUGGAAGAACGACCGAUGGCGAAGGCAGCUCCCUGGGUUGACACUGACGGC
rnacentral:rRNA from 1 species